rnacentral:rRNA from 1 species
GACGAACGCUGGCGGCGUGUUUAACACAUGCAAGUCGAACGGAAAGGCCCUGCUUGCAGGGUGCUCGAGUGGCGAACGGGUGAGUAACACGUGGGUGAUCUGCCCCUUACUUUGGGAUAAGCCUGGGAAACUGGGUCUAAUACUGGAUAGGACCAUGCUGUAGGUGGUGUGGUGGAAAGAUUAGUUUCGGUAAGGGAUGAGCUCGCGGCCUAUCAGCUUGUUGGUGGGGUAAUGGCCUACCAAGGCGUCGACGGGUAGCCGGCCUGAGAGGGUGGACGGCCACAUUGGGACUGAGAUACGGCCCAGACUCCUACGGGAGGCAGCAGUGGGGAAUAUUGCACAAUGGGCGCAAGCCUGAUGCAGCGACGCCGCGUGGGGGAUGACGGCCUUCGGGUUGUAAACUCCUUUCAGCCAUGACGAAGCCCUUGUGGUGACGGUAGUGGUAGAAGAAGCACCGGCUAACUACGUG